rnacentral:rRNA from 1 species
CACGUAGGGUGCGAGCGUUGUCCGGAAUUAUUGGGCGUAAAGAGCUCGUAGGCGGCUCGUCGCGCUCGGUUGUGAAAACCUCUAGGCUUAACCUGGAGCUUGCAACCGAUACGGGCGGGCUAGAGUUCGGUAGGGGAGACUGGAAUUCCUGGUGUAGCGGUGAAAUGCGCAGAUAUCAGGAGGAACACCGGUGGCGAAGGCGGGUCUCUGGGCCGAUGACUGACG